UUAAAAAAAAAGGAACAAGCUACUGAUUCACAGAACAACAUGGAUGAAUUUUUAAUGAAUUUUUCUAAGUGAAAGAAACGAGACUGUUAAGACGGUGUAAUAGUAACUCUGGAAAACAGUACUUUGGAUACUGUAAGGCUAUAAACAAAAAGAACUUCACACAAAUACUAUUCCACAGCGGGUAAGUUCAUUUCCCACCUGGGGAGAUAUACAACUAAGUGCAAUGUGGUGUCAUGCAAUAGGUCCUAGAACGGAAGGACAUUAGUGGAAAAACUGACGAAAUCCAAAGAGUCUACAGUUAAUAGUAUUGUACUAAUGUUAACGUCUUAGUUUGAAAUGUACCGUAAUCAUUUAAGACAUUGAUACUAGGGGAUGUGGGGUAACAAGUAUACACGAAAUCUGUACCAACUCUGCAACUCUUCCAUGAACAUAAAAUCAUUUCAAAAUAAAAAGUUUAAAAAAACUAACAAACAGAACCAAAAAACUAUGUAAAGUACCCUAAAUUGCUGAUCCUGUCCUAGAAGAAAUCUUUGUCACAUACAUCAAGACACGUACAAGGAUUUUUACAGCAACAUUAUUAGCAGUAGUCAAAAAUGGAAACAACUUACAAAUCCAGCAACAGUGGAAAGGAUAAUAAAACAUAACAGAGCCAUGUAACAGCGUAUGUUCACAGCAGUGAGACCUGUCAAGGCGCUGCAGCACGGCCAGAUACCACACCGCCACCGUUGAGUGAAACAGACACCGCACACAGCAAAUACACUAAGAUUACACUCAAAUAAUACUUAAAACCAGGCUCAAUUAAACUAUACUGUCUAGAGAUCCACACACAGGUGGUGAAAUUACUAGGCUGAAAUAUAAAAUUCCAGAUAUUCAAUGAUUUUUUUAUACAAAAAAUGGCAAUUUCAUAUGGUUCAACCUUAAAUGAAAGAAAAACAAGGAAAUCAUUGCCACAAGUCAAGAGCGUGGUUGCCUCUGGGGGAUGGGAGACGGCUGUGACUGGGACAGGUACACAGGGGACUUCUAGGGAACUGGAAACGGCCUCCUUCUUGAUCUAGGUGGGUGAGAUCGGAAGGGCA